rnacentral:piRNA from 1 species
UGAAAGUUUGAUUCUGUUUGUGCAC